UGCAGUCGAGCGAAUCAAUAGGGAGCUUGCUCCUGUUGGUUAGCGGCGGACGGGUGAGUAACACGUGGGCAACCUGCCUGUAAGACUGGGAUAACACCGGGAAACCGGUGCUAAUACCGGAUAAUCCUUUUCCUCUCAUGAGGAAAAGCUGAAAGUCGGUUUCGGCUGACACUUACAGAUGGGCCCGCGGCGCAUUAGCUAGUUGGUGAGGUAACGGCUCACCAAGGCGACGAUGCGUAGCCGACCUGAGAGGGUGAUCGGCCACACUGGGACUGAGACACGGCCCAGACUCCUACGGGAGGCAGCAGUAGGGAAUCUUCCACAAUGGACGAAAGUCUGAUGGAGCAACGCCGCGUGAGCGAUGAAGGCCUUCGGGUCGUAAAGCUCUGUUGUUAGGGAAGAACAAGUACCGGAGUAACUGCCGGUACCUUGACGGUACCUAACCA
rnacentral:rRNA from 1 species